GUCGGGACCUAACGCGAACCCGAAUGGGGUAGUGGAUGGACAAUUGGUUAAUAUUCCAAUACUUGUAUUUACUGCGAUGGGGUGACGGAGUAGUGAAAGUCCUGCGCACUGACGGAAUAGUGCGUUAAAACCUGUAGAUAUAAGCUUUGUAGGCAAAUCCGCAAAGCUUGUCGAAGGCGAUAGUACUCAGAAUCUUCGGAUGACGAGAUAUGGACCUAAUCAGACUUCCAAGAAAAACCUCUAAGCUUCAGGUAAAUACAACCCGUACCGUAAACCGACACAGGUAGUCAAGGAGAGAAUCCUAAGGUGCUCGAGUGAUUCAUGGCUAAGGAACUAGGCAGAAUAGACCCGUAACUUCGGGAGA
rnacentral:rRNA from 1 species